UGGGGAAUAUUGCGCAAUGGGGGAAACCCUGACGCAGCAACGCCGCGUGAAGGAUGAAGGUUUUCGGAUUGUAAACUUCUUUGACGAGGGACGAAGAAUGACGGUACCUCGAAAACAAGCCACGGCUAACUACGUGCCAGCAGCCGCGGUAAUACGUAGGUGGCGAGCGUUGUCCGGAUUUACUGGGUGUAAAGGGCGAGUAGGCGGGAUUGCAAGUCAGAUGUGAAAUCUAUCGGCUUAACUGAUAGACUGCAUUUGAAACUGCGGUUCUUGAGUGAUGGAGAGGCAGGCGGAAUUCCUAGUGUAGCGGUGAAAUGCGUAGAUAUUAGGAGGAACACCAGUGGCGAAGGCGGCCUGCUGGACAUUAACUGACGCUGAGGCGCGAAAGCGUGGGGAGCAAACA
rnacentral:rRNA from 1 species